UCCCCGGUGGUCCAGUGGUUAGGACUCUGCGCUUCCACUGCAGAGGCCCAGGUUCAGUCCCUGGUGGGGGAA